rfam:Myotis lucifugus cont2.26266, whole genome shotgun sequence.
GCCGGUGUGGCUCAGCGGAUAGAGCGUCAGCCUGUGGAAUGAAAGGUCCCAGGUUCGAUUCCGGUCAAUGGCA